rnacentral:rRNA from 1 species
AGUGAACGCUGGCGGUAGGCCUAACACAUGCAAGUCGAACGGCAGCACAGUAAGAGCUUGCUCUUACGGGUGGCGAGUGGCGGACGGGUGAGGAAUACAUCGGAAUCUACUUUUUCGUGGGGGAUAACGUAGGGAAACUUACGCUAAUACCGCAUACGACCUACGGGUGAAAGCAGGGGAUCUUCGGACCUUUCGCGUUUGAUUUAGCUGAUGUCGGAUUAGCUAGUUGGCGGGGUAAAGGCCCACCAAGGCGACGAUCCGUAGCUGGUCUGAGAGGAUGAUCAGCCACACUGGAACUGAGACACGGUCCAGACUCCUACGGGAGGCAGCAGUGGGGAAUAUUGGACAAUGGGCGCAAGCCUGAUCCAGCCAUACCGCGUGGGUGAAGAAGGCCUUCGGGUUGUAAAGCCCUUUUGUUGGGAAAGAAAAGCAGCAGGUUAAUACCCCGCUGUUCUGACGGUACCCAAAGAAUAAGCACCGGCUAACUUCGUG